rnacentral:lncRNA from 1 species
GCAUUUGUGGGCCUUUGAUGGAAGACUCCAUACAAGUUUACUUGGGAAGAUUAUAUUGAAUGGAGUGUUCCUAAAGUCUGUAGUGAUGGAAUUCCAGACACACAAGUUGAUGCCUAAGUCGAGAGUGAUGGAACAGGAUAAAUAGAAGACAAUGUAGAGAAGCAGCAGGCUUGCAUCCGAGCGAACAAAAUCUGAAGGCAAUUACAUUUCCAAGUAUUAUGUUAAUAACACAAACUGUGUUCAAUAGUCAGAAACAGUAAAACAGCAGACGGGCUUUAAUUAAAGCUUCACAUCACUCUU